AGAGUUUGAUCCUGGCUCAGAUUGAACGCUGGCGGCAGGCCUAACACAUGCAAGUCGAACGGUAGCACAGAGGAGCUUGCUCCUUGGGUGACGAGUGGCGGACGGGUGAGUAAUGUCUGGGAAACUGCCCGAUGGAGGGGGAUAACUACUGGAAACGGUAGCUAAUACCGCAUAACGUCGCAAGACCAAAGAGGGGGACCUUCGGGCCUCUUGCCAUCGGAUGUGCCCAGAUGGGAUUAGCUAGUAGGUGGGGUAACGGCUCACCUAGGCGACGAUCCCUAGCUGGUCUGAGAGGAUGACCAGCCACACUGGAACUGAGACACGGUCCAGACUCCUACGGGAGGCAGCAGUGGGGAAUAUUGCACAAUGGGCGCAAGCCUGAUGCAGCCAUGCCGCGUGUAUGAAGAAGGCCUUCGGGUUGUAAAGUACUUUCAGCGAGGAGGAAGGCGUUGUGGUUAAUAACCGCAGCGAUUGACGUUACUCGCAGAAGAAGCACCGGCUAACUCCGUGCCAGCAGCCGCGGUAAAAGGG
rnacentral:rRNA from 1 species